AUAACGGAGGUGCCAGGGCUGUCGCUGACUUUUGAAAAGGUCGUGCACGCCCGGGUGCUCUCUCACAUCCAUCUCACCCCUUUGUGCAUCACCGCGUGGGGCCCCCCCUUUUGGUUUGUUCCGAGGGGGGUGUGUUCACGUUUUUACACACACACCCUUUUCAAUGCAUGUGUAGAGAAUGUCUUUACUUUUUGCGAUCGCACGCAAUCAAUACAACUUUCAACAACGGAUCUCUUGGCUCUCGCAUCGAUGAAGAACGCAGCGAAAUGCGAUACGUAAUGUGAAUUGCAGAAUUCAGUGAAUCAUCGAAUCUUUGAACGCACCUUGCGCCCCUUGGUAUUCCGAGGGGCACACCCGUUUGAGUGUCGUGAACAUCCUCAACCUUCUUGGUUUCUUGACCAGGGAAGGCUNGGACUUUGGAGGUUUUUAUUGCUGGCCUCCCUUGAAGCCAGCUCCUCCCAAAUGAAUUAGUGGGGUCCGCUUUGCCGAUCCUCGACGUGAUAAGUAACGUUUCUACGUCUUGGGUUUUGCACUGUGCCCCGCUUCUAACCGUCUUCGAAUGAAGACAACGUUCGAGUCACCACUCGACCUUAAAAACCUUGACCUCAAAUCGGGUGAGACUACCCGCUGAACUUAAGCAUAUCAAUAAGCGGAGGA
rnacentral:rRNA from 1 species